rnacentral:rRNA from 1 species
GUGAGGAAUAUUGCGCAAUGGAGGCAACUCUGACGCAGCCAUGCCGCGUGCAGGAAGAAGGCGCUACGCGUUGUAAACUGCUUUUAACCGGGAAGAAACCCCAGGACGUGUCCUGGGUUGACGGUACCGGAGGAAUAAGCACCGGCUAACUUCGUGCCAGCAGCCGCGGUAAUACGAAGGGUGCAAGCGUUAUCCGGAUUCAUUGGGUUUAAAGGGUGCGUAGGCGGAGCGUUAAGUCAGUGGUGAAAGCCUGCAGCUUAACUGUAGACUUGCCAUUGAUACUGGCGCUCUUGAGUGCGCUUGAAGUGGGCGGAAUGUGCCGUGUAGCGGUGAAAUGCUUAGAUAUGGCACAGAACACCAAUUGCGAAGGCAGCUCACUAAGGCGAUACUGACGCUGAGGCACGAAAGCGUGGGGAUCGAACAGGAUUAGAUACCCUUGUAGUCC